rnacentral:rRNA from 1 species
GAACGCUGGCGGCAGGCCUAACACAUGCAAGUCGAGCGGUAGAGAGAAGCUUGCUUCUCUUGAGAGCGGCGGACGGGUGAGUAAUGCCUAGGAAUCUGCCUGGUAGUGGGGGAUAACGUUCGGAAACGGACGCUAAUACCGCAUACGUCCUACGGGAGAAAGCAGGGGACCUUCGGGCCUUGCGCUAUCAGAUGAGCCUAGGUCGGAUUAGCUAGUUGGUGGGGUAAUGGCUCACCAAGGCGACGAUCCGUAACUGGUCUGAGAGGAUGAUCAGUCACACUGGAACUGAGACACGGUCCAGACUCCUACGGGAGGCAGCAGUGGGGAAUAUUGGACAAUGGGCGAAAGCCUGAUCCAGCCAUGCCGCGUGUGUGAAGAAGGUCUUCGGAUUGUAAAGCACUUUAAGUUGGGAGGAAGGGCAGUAAAUUAAUACUUUGCUGUUUUGACGUUACCGACAGAAUAAGCACCGGCUAACUCUGUGCCAGCAGCCGCGGUAAUACAGAGGGUGCAAGCGUUAAUCGGAAUUACUGGGCGUAAAGCGCGCGUAGGUGGUUAGUUAAGUUGGAUGUGAAAUCCCCGGGCUCAACCUGGGAACUGCAUUCAAAACUGACUGACUAGAGUAUGGUAGAGGGUGGUGGAAUUUCCUGUGUAGCGGUGAAAUGCGUAGAUAUAGGAAGGAACACCAGUGGCGAAGGCGACCACCUGGACUG